UCGACGGACAGAUAUGGAAACCUAGUGAAUAUCUGUUAGUGGCGGACGGGUGAGUAACGCGUGGAUAACCUGCCAUAUACAGGGGGAUAACACUUAGAAAUAGGUGCUAAUACCGCAUAAGCGCACAGCUUCGCAUGAAGGAGUGUGAAAAACUAAGGUGGUAUAUGAUGGAUCCGCGUCUGAUUAGCCAGUUGGUGAGGUAACGGCUCACCAAAGCGACGAUCAGUAGCCGGCCUGAGAGGGCGGACGGCCACAUUGGGACUGAGACACGGCCCAGACUCCUGCGGGAGGCAGCAGUGGGGGAUAUUGCACAAUGGGGGAAACCCUGAUGCAGCGACGCCGCGUGAGUGAAGAAGUAAUUCGUUACGUAAAGCUCUAUCAGCAGGGAAGAAAAUGACGGUACCUGACUAAGAAGCCCCGGCUAACUACGUGCCAGCAGCCGCGGUAAUACGUAGGGGGCAAGCGUUAUCCGGAAUUACUGGGUGUAAAGGGAGCGCAGACGGCAGUGCAAGUCUGGAGUGAAAGCCCGUGGCUUAACUACGGGACUGCUCUGGAAACUGUGCAGCUAGAGUGCAGGAGAGGCAGGCGGAAUUCCCAGUGUAGCGGUGAAAUGCGUAGAUAUUAGGAGGAACACCGGUGGCGAAGGCGGCCUGCUGGACUGUAACUGACGUUGAGGCUCGAAAGCGUGGGGAGCAAACAGGAUUAGAUACCCUGGUAGUCCACGCCGUAAACGAUGAUUACUANGUGUCGGGGGACGAUAGUNCUCCGGUGCCGGCGCAAACGCAUAAGUAAUCCACCUGGGGAGUACGUUCGCAAGAAUGAAACUCA
rnacentral:rRNA from 1 species